CCUUUCCCUCACCACCCAGCCUACCGCCCGACGUGGUCCUUUCCCUCACCACCCAGCCUACCGCCCGACGUGGUCCUUUCCCUCACCACCCAGCCUACCGCCCGACGUGGUCCUUUCCCUCACCACCCAGCCUACCGUUAAUCUCAUCCAGUGCUUUUGUCACCUCGUGUUGUAAUUCAAUUUUUUUUAUUUUUUAUGAGAUGGGGGUCUCACUAUGUGGUCCAGGCUGGUCUUGAACUCCUGGGCUCAAGCGAUCCUCCUGCCUCAGCCUCCCAAAGUGCUGCGAUGACACGCGUGAGCCACCAAGCCCAGCCAACAUGUUAUAAUUCUCUAGAGGCUUGCUUGGGGUCCCCUUUACGUCUUCCAUGUCUCUACUAAACUUUUGCAGAUUGGGAUUCAGUUGUAAGAACUGCUGAGUGCCCAUGUCUGCUGGUUCUGAUAUCAGGGUCGGUUUCAGGAGGCUGCUUUUCCUCCUUGUUUGGGGUCCUAUUAUGCUGCCUUCCUGUGGGCCUGGUACUCUCGGGUUGAUGCCUGAGGCAUUGCGAAUUUUACCAUGUUGCGUGCUGGGUGUUUUAGCAUUUUUAUAAAUCAUCUUAAUCUUUGUUCUGG
rnacentral:lncRNA from 1 species